CUUGCUUCUCUUGAGAGCGGCGGACGGGUGAGUAAUGCCUAGGAAUCUGCCUGGUAGUGGGGGAUAACGUUCGGAAACGGACGCUAAUACCGCAUACGUCCUACGGGAGAAAGCAGGGGACCUUCGGGCCUUGCGCUAUCAGAUGAGCCUAGGUCGGAUUAGCUAGUUGGUGGGGUAAUGGCUCACCAAGGCUACGAUCCGUAACUGGUCUGAGAGGAUGAUCAGUCACACUGGAACUGAGACACGGUCCAGACUCCUACGGGAGGCAGCAGUGGGGAAUAUUGGACAAUGGGCGAAAGCCUGAUCCAGCCAUGCCGCGUGUGUGAAGAAGGUCUUCGGAUUGUAAAGCACUUUAAGUUGGGAGGAAGGGUUGUAGAUUAAUACUCUGCAAUUUUGACGUUACCGACAGAAUAAGCACCGGCUAACUCUGUGCCAGCAGCCGCGGUAAUACAGAGGGUGCAAGCGUUAAUCGGAAUUACUGGGCGUAAAGCGCGCGUAGGUGGUUUGUUAAGUUGGAUGUGAAAUCCCCGGGCUCAACCUGGGAACUGCAUUCAAAACUGACUGACUAGAGUAUGGUAGAGGGUGGUGGAAUUUCCUGUGUAGCGGUGA
rnacentral:rRNA from 1 species